ensembl:lncRNA
AGUGACAGGUCAUGAAAGAUAAAGCUACAGACCCACUGGAGGUGUGGGCCAGCCGAAGUUUCAACCAGAUGUCGCCAGAGUGGCCAGUCUCCCCCAGGCAAAGCAAAGCAAAGCGAUAGUUCCUGGACAACUCCUUUCGUGGUGGACUUCCUGAGGCCCUCUGCGCCGGCUCCUGGCUCUACAGAGCUUGUUCCUGGGGACCAGUUACUCCAGGCUUUGGAUCUCCCCACCUCAAUAGUUCGCAGGGAAGUUCUCCAUCAUUCCACUGGGGCCAGGCCUUGGGUUCCACUCCAGAAGCCCCGAAGCACCCUUCCUCCUGUCCAGAGUCCUCUCUCCUACCUACUUGGGCUUAGGCUCAGCCCACCUGUGGGCUGGGAGGGGAUGGAAGAGACAGGUGGGCCCCUAGAUGCACUGGCUGGAUUGCAGACAUAUUUAUGCUCCAUUUCUAAUGUCUGGUCCUUCCUGUGGUCCCACUGAUGGGGGAACAGAAAGGAAACAGGAGGGGGCUGGGGUGACAGGCACAGCCCACUAGGCUGCCCUCCUCUGCCUCACCCUCCCUCGCCUGGGCCCCAGCUGAGCCCAUCAUCAGAGGCCUCCAGGAGCUGGGGCCACAGUCUGCGUGGGUCUGCCCCUCCCCUCACCCCAGCCUAGAAGACUCCACCUCUCCCAGGUCCUGGCUGGGAUCCGAAGGCCCCGGGCAAGUGGGGGAAGGGGAGCCACUCCUACUUUCCCAGCAGCUGCUGCUGCCUCUUCCUGUUUUGCUAAAACUUUGGCUCCGGACCCAAGGGGGUGGGGGAAAGUCGCCAGGCGCUCUCGCCCCCCCCCAAAGGUCAAACUCAUCCCCCUGGUCCUCUUAGCUAGUUAUUUAUAGCUCCCCAGGCCCUGGCUGAGGAGCUACAUCUCUCCUCCCCCAAAUGUCAGCAGCUGUGGCCAUUGCCCCAGGGAUGCAGCCAGAUGUGCUGAUCACUCCAGAUGCGCAGUGCCAGGAUUUGGGAGCGCAGGCCAGGCCCUUUCUCCUGGACAUUCCCUGCUGCCUGGUUCCUCCUCCACUCUGAGUCAACAAACCUGAGUCCUGGGGGAUGGGGGGACAUCAGGAAGUUCCCACCUAUUUUCUCCACUCCCAUAGCCUGAUCCCAAGACGGGACAGCUCGGGCUAUAGACCCACGUGGAUGUCUUUGCAUAAAUUAGGACAGGACUCAUUUGGAGACUGGAUUUGUAGAAGUCAGCUGCAGUUCAGAGGGACAGAAGGGUCAGGAUGCUGGAUGCUGUCUUCUUACUAACGUCAGCACGGAGAUCCACUCCUGAGAGUCCAGCGUCCAAAGAGCAGGCUCUGCGAUUCUUUUCUUUGGCUACAUCCUGCUCUCCAGGAGAUGAUGAAUUCCCCAGGGAGAGGACUGCAGCUUCCUUUGCCUCUGUGCCAGGAAGUUGCUCAACAAAUAAGAGAUUAUACGUAAUGAAAAAGAGUUGAAGUCAGUGGUGGUCACGUGUGGGUGGAUCCUUCAAGGUUGUAACAAGGGGAGAAGUCCAAACCCAUCCUAAAAGACACUCCUGGCAAAGAGAGUGUCAGGACCUCCUCAAACGCUUGCCUAGAGAUUCCAAGGCCUGAGAAGGUCCUGCUGCGGCCUGUUGCAAGGCUGAACUCCCGAGCCCACCAGUGGGUGGACCACAGCAUCCCUGCAGGGGCCACUGGAGCACGUAAUUGUGAGCUGGCUACAGAAAGGCAUUUUGCAACUCAGACGAAUUUCUUCUCGCUCAUGAUUAGGGUAUGGCCCAGUGGCUGCCUCCCUGACUGUAAUCUCUGCUGGCACAGGCAUCUCCGGGGCUGGGCAGUGGGGGCUGUGGAAGGAGGGCUGACCUAGAAGCCUGGACGCCGGAGUUCUCUGCCCGCUCCUCGCCAGGGAUUAACCAUGGCAUGGCUGGCAGGGAGACUGGGUUCUCAGUUUCCUCAUCUGUAAAAGGAGUGAUGUGAUUAGAUUAGAGUGGCCCAAACCUAACCACACCUUAGGAUUACCUGGGGAGCUUCAGAUUACUAGGUACUCCCUUCACCCCUUGCAUCUGCUGGGGGCUGUGAGAUGGCCCAGGAAUCUGUUUUUCACAGGCUCUUCUACAUGAUUUUUUUGGGGCCACACCCACAGCCUGUGGAAGUUCUGGGGCCAGGGAUCGAACCUGCGACCCUAGCCACUGCAGUGACAAUGCCGGAUUCUUAACCUGCUGAGCCACAGGGAAACUCCUACAGGAUUUUGACAUAAUGUCAAGUAUGGGGGAUCCUACAGACUAUAGAUAUAAAUAAACUGUAAAUAUAAAUCACUUGCAGCUCUUAGGAGAAAAGAUUCUAGUAAAUGGAAUGGCUGUAACAAGAGGCUUUGGUGCUGUGGGGUUUUAUCAGAGGGCAAAUGGUGGGUAGUUUAUUUCAUCAUCAUCAUCACCAUCAAUUACUAUUUUUUCCAGGCCUUUUUUGGCUGCACCUGAAGCAUGCAAAAGCAUGCGGGGCCAGGGAUCAAACCAGCACCCCCGUGGUGACAACACCAGAUCCUUAACCCGCUGCACCACCAGGGAACCCCUCCAGUUUUAUUGAGAUAUAAUUGACCUACAUCACUGUGUAAGGUGUACAGCACAAUUUGAUUUACAUACAUCAGGAAAGGGUUAUCAGACUAAGUUUAGUAAAUAUGUAUCAACUCAUAUAGAUACAAAAUUAAAGAAAUGGAAACACCCUUUUCUUCCUGUGAGCAGAGGACUCGGGAUUGAGGCCCUCGCUUACCUCAAGGCUGGAGCCGGGCUGGGAGAGAAGGGAAGGGAGGAAUGGGCCGUCCCUGUAGGUGGGGCCUCUUGGCACGGGGACCUUUCUCUCUCACUCUCCUGGGUGGAGUUUGGCUGCACGGGCUUUGGCACCAGCCUCUGGAGCUGAGAGAGUGUCUUCCCAUCCGUAUUCCUCCCCCACUUCGGUUUCAGCCCAGAGGACAGCCCCCUUCUCCUCCUCCUGCCCCGACUUCCUCCCCAGGCUCCCUCACCAACCUCAUUCCUAAGCCUCGCUAAUCUGUUUGCCACCCUCUGCUUCCUUGCCUCGCCCUUGCUCAUGCCAUUCUCUCCACCUGGAAUGUCACCCCCGCCCCCCAACACCAAUUCACAUUUCUGGGCUCCUUUGAAACCCAGCUCCAGACUGGCUGACGUCGUUGGAGCUGUGAUCUGCCCAGGUCGCUCCUCUUCACGAUAGACUCAUUUAUGCUUGAAAUCACAGAAUCAGAGAACAGCUUUAGACUCAGAAAGAAAUAAGUACAGAUGACCUAAACCAGCUCUCGCAUUCAAUGGACGGAAACCCUGAGGCCCAGAGAGGUCUUGACUUGGCCAAGGUCACACAGUCGUGAGGUUUACUGGUGGUGGUGGUGGCGGCGAACAGUUGGCUUCACAAGAGGCUUUCAAGUAUCCUACGUCUUUGUUUUAUUUCCUCGACACGUGGUGAUGCCUAUGAGGGCAGAGGUGAUGUUGCUGUUUUAAUUGGUGUUCUUAAGCUCCACGGUGCUGUGUAUGUGCAGGCAACUGUAAUAGUUCUAAAACUCGCAGGGGUGCACAUUUUGCAUAUGAUCUCAGACCAGCCCUGAGCGGUAGGUCACCAAGGCAUUGCUAUCUUACUGAGCAGGAAACUGAGACUUAGAAAGGUGUGACCCAGGAAGUUAAUGGCAGAACCGGGGCCAAAACGCAAGUUCCCUGCCUCCCAGCCUCAGCCCAGGACCCUGACACCCAUGAUGCUGUUCUUCUAGAGCCUUCCUGAGGUUCCCGGCAGGGGACCUAGAGUAGUCAAAGGGGUGGCCUCCGCCGUCUUUCGCCUUCCUUGUGAUUUCUUCACUUUGGGGUUGAGCAGACCUUGCCUCUGGCCUCCUACCCCUCCCCAUCCUGUCCCACCGCGUUCUCCUUGUGUCCCCCCACAGCCUGUUGGCACAUUGACCCAUACGCAUACAUGCUCAGAGCUGCAGGUGUCUAGGGCAACAGACCACAGGGGAAACCACAUCACCUUUGUUGACACUGGAGGGAGGCAGGGGGGCCGGGAAAGAACCUGCUUACGUCUCUCCACCUGCCUCUGUCCCCGCAGUCAUCUCACCUCCCAGCCUGGUGGGUCAUCUGGACUUGACCCAUGGCCCAGCCUCUUCCUGAGGACCCAUCCAAACCUGGCCCGGGAGGAUGUAUCGCCCCUUCUCACAGAUCCUGAAAUCCUGGAGGGAGGUGGGGCGGUCUGCCUAGCUGCACCCCAAAGCCACACCCCCAAUCCUAGCCAGUUUACUGACCUAGCUCCUCUGAUUCCACCUGCGCAGUGCAGCAGACAAAGGUGGAAACCAGGAAUGAGAGGACAUGGCUGGGGGUCGGUAAGGAAGGAAAUUUGACAUCUAGGCCAUCACUCCUACAUCAAAGGGGACCGCUAGGGAGUUCCUGUCGUGGCUCAGCGGUUAAUGAACCCAACUGGCAUCCAUGAGGACGCAGGUUCGGUCCCUGGCCUCGCUCUGUGGGUUAAGGAUCAGGUGUUGCCGUGAGCUGUGGUUUAGGCCAGUGGCUACAGCUCCAAUUAGACCCCUAGUCUGGGAACCUCCACACGCCACAGGUGCGGCCCUAAAAAGACAAAAAGACACCAAAAAAAGGUGGAGGGGGGACCUCUAGUAACCAGGCUACAUGGGAUCUGUGGUGUUUGGACCUGCUGAAAGAAGCUGCACAGGCUCUGAAUCAGGCCCAUUUGGGAUUAAGUCACUUGCUGGCUCUGUGGCCUUGGGCAAAUCAUUUUGUGUUUCUGAGCUUUAGUUUGCUAACUAAAACAAUGGGGAUAAUAAUGAGAUAUAAGUGAAAGGUCCUGGAACAGCACAGGAUACCAAGGAGACGCUCAAUAAAUCCUAAUUACCCUCCCUCCCUCCUUUCCUUCCACUUGUUGCAUCUGGCUCCAUGAAACCCUUUAUUUGGAAUUGGAGCUCUACCUCCCCUAUUUACGUGCAAGUCCAAACCCUGAGCAUUGGCAUCUGAUCCCAGGUUCAGAAACAGGAAUGCACAUCCCCACAGCCCAAGGAAGUGGCUGUCCCUCGGAGAGUGCACCCAGGCCAAGGACGAACACCUUCUGAUCGGCCUUGUGGAGAGGGUGUGAGAAGUCCAGGUUAGGAAAGGGCUUGUGGCUUCAGACACCACAUCGAGAAAGCGGGUCAGGAAUGGUCUCAGAGGCCUGCGGUUUAGACCGAUGCCUUCGGAUGGAGCUUUGAACCCUGGCACAAGGUGGGCGCCCAAUAACACUUGUUGAAUGAACGCAUGGCCUCAGCACUUACUAGUUGUGUAACGUUGGUCAUGUUUCUCAACUUUUAUGAGUCGCACUUUAAUCACAAACAUAACAAGGAUUACUGCUAAGAAUAAAUGAUCUCAUGUUUGCCAGGGGGCUGGCAUAGGGCUGCUGCAUGGCACACAGUCAGUAAAUGGUAGCUAAGUAAGGGGAUGUGAGAUAAACGAGAAAGAGAAGGUCAAAGAGGCUCAGAACCCCAAAGCAAGCGGAAGGUGGCUGCCUUCAGGCUUCGUACUGGCCAGAGACUCCAAGAAGACUCUGGGGAGCCAAGGCAGGUCCUGUGGGGCUAAUCUCUUCUGCUAGGUGCUUAGCUGAGCAGUCUGUGAGAGGCCUGGACUCAAGAGC